rnacentral:rRNA from 1 species
GGAAUAUUGGACAAUGGGCGCAAGCCUGAUCCAGCCAUGCCGCGUGCAGGAUGACGGUCCUAUGGAUUGUAAACUGCUUUUGUACAGGAAGAAACACUGGUUCGUGAACCAGCUUGACGGUACUGUAAGAAUAAGGAUCGGCUAACUCCGUGCCAGCAGCCGCGGUAAUACGGAGGAUCCAAGCGUUAUCCGGAAUCAUUGGGUUUAAAGGGUCCGUAGGCGGUCUUGUAAGUCAGUGGUGAAAGCCCAUCGCUCAACGGUGGAACGGCCAUUGAUACUGCAGGACUUGAAUUAUUAGGAAGUAACUAGAAUAUGUAGUGUAGCGGUGAAAUGCUUAGAGAUUACAUGGAAUACCAAUUGCGAAGGCAGGUUACUACUAAUUGAUUGACGCUGAUGGACGAAAGCGUGGGUAGCGAACAGGAUUAGAUACCCUGG